GCGGACGUCCAUGGAUCCCGUCGACCUCACUCGUAAUGAGAAGGUCAAGGGUUCGAUUCCCUUGGGCGGCUCCA
rnacentral:tRNA from 1 species